rnacentral:rRNA from 1 species
GAGGCGUACGACGGCCAGUGAUUAGAGUUUGAUCCUGGCUCAGGAUGAACGCUAGCGGCAGGCUUAACACAUGCAAGUCGAGGGGUAACAGGGGAUGUAGCAAUACAUCCUGCUGACGACCGGCGCACGGGUGCGUAACGCGUAUGCAACCUGCCCGCAACAGGGGUAUAACGGAGUGAAAAUUCCACUAAUCCCCCAUAUUGUCAUUAGGCCGCAUGGCUUUAUGACGAAAGGUUAUUCUGGUUGCGGAUGGGCAUGCGUGACAUUAGGUAGUUGGCGGGGUAACGGCCCACCAAGCCGACGAUGUCUAGGGGAGCUGAGAGGCUUAUCCCCCACACUGGUACUGAGACACGGACCAGACUCCUACGGGAGGCAGCAGUGAGGAAUAUUGGUCAAUGGGCGGAUGCCUGAACCAGCCAUGCCGCGUGGAGGAAGAAGGUCCUAUGGGUUGUAAACUCCUUUUGUACCGGAGUAAUAAGGUCUUUGCGAAGGCCGAUGAGAGUACGGUACGAAUAAGCAUCGGCUAACUCCGUGCCAGCAGCCGCGGUAAUACGGAGGAUGCAAGCGUUAUCCGGAUUUAUUGGGUUUAAAGGGUGCGCAGGCGGCGCGAUAAGUCAGCGGUGAAAGGUCCCGGCUCAACCGGGGAGCUGCCGUUGAUACUGUUGUGCUGGAGUGCGGACGGCGCCGGCGGAAUGUGUCAUGUAGCGGUGACAUGCUUAGAGAUGACACAGAACACCGAUCGCGAAGGCAGCUGGCGAGGCCGUUACUGACGCUGACGCACGAAAGCGUGGGGAGCAAACAGGAUUAGAUACCCUGGUAGUCCACGCAGUAAACGAUGGGGACUUGUUGUCGGCGAUAGAGUGUCGGUGACAAAGCGAAAGCGAUAAGUCCCCCACCUGGGAAGUACGAUCGCAAGGUUGAAACUCAAAGGAAUUGACGGGGCCCGCACAAGCGGAGGAGCAUGUGGUUUAAUCGAUGAUACGCGAGGAUCUUACCUGGACUCAAAUGCAGCGUGACGUCAGAAAUGGACAUCUUCGGACAGGCUGCAGUGCUGCAUGUGUCGUCAGCUCUGCCUGAGUGUCAGUAGUCAUACGAGCGCACCCUACGUCAAUGCGCGGUAAGCCCGGACUCUUGAAGGACUGUCGGCCAAGCUAAGGAGAGUUGGAUGACUUAUGUCAGGGCCAAUUCACGUAUGUACAGGCGGCGACUCAUCGCAGUGGUCAUACUUAGAGCGUCGGCGUAUAGCAAGAGCGGCAGG